rnacentral:misc_RNA from 1 species
GAUGAAGAACGUAGCGAAAUGCGAUAACUAGUGUGAAUUGCAGAAUUCCGUGAAUCAUCGAGUCUUUGAACGCACAUUGCGCCCCCUGGUAUUCCGGGGGGCAUGCCUGUCCGAGCGUCAUUGCUGCCCAUCAAGCACGGCUUGUGUGUUGGGUCGUCGUCCCCCCCUCCGGGGGGGGACGGGCCCUAAAGGCAGCGGCGGCACCGCGUCCGAUCCUCGAGCGUAUGGGGCUUUGUCACCCGCUCUGUAGGCCCGGCCGGUGCUUGCCGAACGCAAAACAACCAUUCUUUCCAGGUUGACCUCGGAUCAGGUAGGGAUACCCGCUGAACUUAAGCAUAUCAAUAAGCGGAGGA